CUACGGGGUGCUCCAGUGGGGAAUAUUGGACAAUGGGCGCAAGCCUGAUCCAGCAAUGCCGCGUGAGUGAAGACGGCCUUAGGGUUGUAAAACUCAUUCGCUAGGGAAGAUAAUGACUGUACCUAGUAAAGAAGUCCCGGCUAACUCCGUGCCAGCAGCCGCGGUAAUACGGAGGGGACUAGCGUUGUUCGGAAUUACUGGGCGUAAGGAGUUCGUAGGCGGACUGACAAGUUAGAGGUGAAAUCCCAGGGCUCAACCCUGGAACUGCCUUUAAAACCGUCAGUCUAGAGACCGGAAGAGGUUAGGGGAAUACCUAGUGUAGAGGUGAAAUUCGUAGAUAUUAGGUGGAACACCAGUGGCGAAGGCGCCUAACUGGUCCGGUACUGACGCUGAGGAACGAAAGCGUGGGGAGCAAACAGGAUUAGAUACCCUAGUAGUC
rnacentral:rRNA from 1 species